rnacentral:lncRNA from 1 species
GGAAAGGAACCGAUUGGCCCACAACGUUGAACAUCGGGGGAAUAAAGUGAGCAUUCCCCUCAACCUGUGCAGAUAAAGACUCUCCAGUAGUCUUUAGGGAUUCAAGAGCUACCAAGAUCUGACCGACCUGGUCUUUCAACUGGCUAACAUAAGCUUUGAAGGAUUCUUGCGACUCCUCCCAACUUUCCAUGACUCUUGAAUUAGCUUGAGUCCUGUAGGGAUGUCGUGGAAAAUUGGUCAUUGUUCUCCUCACUUGUACCC